CGGAGCGCACGUCUACCGGCGAGGCCUCAGGAAGGAAAAAAGGAAGCCUGCUACUGCCUCAGUGGAAAGGGCACAAAGAGACCCAGCCUCCUAGUCUCUCGUACCGGCAUCCAGCCGCCUGCUUAGGGACAGGAAGUCGGCCAUGCCGAGAAGGUCGUUCUGAAUGGAAGUGGAAGGACGGCCACAGAAACGGACAGGAAGUUGGCCAUCCCGGGGAGGUCGGUGUGUAAGACAGUGGAGGACUACUGCGCAUGUGUGACUGGAAGUUGGCAGGCCCUAGGAGUAGGUAACCCAAAACACUCGAAGAGCCACUUGGACCCAUUUACAACCGAAAACAUCUUUUAUGACUCAUGGACUUCUACUCUCAGAAUUCCUGAGUCAGCAUAGCUGGGCUAGCUAGCUCUCUCCUGCCCUUCCUGCUUCCUGCAGAGACGCAGCAAAAGGAGGAGUGCCAUCCAGUAAGCUUUUUAGCUCGUCGGAGAACACUGUGAGUCCACUCUCUUUUUUACACACA